CUCCCACCCCUAGCAGCCGUCACCCUUUUGUGCCUUGCCCCAAGAGAUGAGAGGAAGAAAAAAGAAGAGAAGAGAAGAGAGGGGAGAUAAGGGCAUACCGUCGCUCAUCAUCGUCGUUCCUAUCCAAGAAUUGGUGGCUACACUCCGGAUCAUGCCUAGUACAUCUUUCUUCCUCGAUGAAGGCAAGUGAUUGUAGCAGUGGUUUCUACCGUUUUGAAUUGUUGUUUUUUUAUCGCCAACACUCUAAUAUUCAGAAUUAUGGAAUUCUUUCAUAAUUGAACUC